GUGGGGAAUAUUGGACAAUGGGGGCAACCCUGAUCCAGCAAUGCCGCGUGUGUGAAGAAGGCCUGCGGGUUGUAAAGCACUUUAGGUGGGGAGGAACGUUUCAAUGCGAAUAGCUUUGAGAUAUGACGUUACCCACAGAAUAAGCACCGGCUAACUCUGUGCCAGCAGCCGCGGUAAUACAGAGGGUGCAAGCGUUAAUCGGAAUUACUGGGCGUAAAGGGCGCGUAGGCGGUUGAUUAAGUCGGAUGUGAAAGCCCCGGGCUUAACCUGGGAAUGGCAUUCGAAACUGGUUGACUAGAGUAGGAUAGAGGGAAGUGGAAUUUCCGGUGUAGCGGUGAAAUGCGUAGAUAUCGGAAGGAACACCAGUGGCGAAGGCGGCUUCCUGGAUUCAUACUGACGCUGAGGCGCGAAAGCGUGGGGAUCAAACAGG
rnacentral:rRNA from 1 species